rnacentral:lncRNA from 1 species
CAGAAACGUGGUGGGAUGACUCACACGAAUGGAGUGCUGCUAUGGGGGGCUAUAAGCUCUUCAGAAAGGACAGGCAGGGAAGGAGAGGUGGAGGGGUGGCUUUAUAUGUUAGAGAGUCUCUUGACUCUGUUGAAGUUGAGGUCAGCAGUGACAAGGUUGAGUGCCUGUGGACCAGAAUCAGGGGGAAGGCCAACAAGGCUGACAUCCUUGUGGGUGUCUGUUACAGACUGCCCAACCAGAAUGAUGAAGGAGAUGAAUUAUUCUACAAGCAGCUGGCAGAUGUCUCAAAAUCUCCAGCCCUUGUGCUUAUGGGUGACUUUAACCUACUGGAUAUCUGCUGGGAGCUUCAUACUGCAGAGAAGAGGCAGUCAAGGAGGUUCCUGGAGUGUAUAGAGGAUAAUUUCCUUCAUCAACUGGUAAAUGAGCCUACCAGGGGUAAGGCUCUGCUAGACCUACUGUUUACAAACAGAGAGGGGCUGGUGGAUGAUGUAGUGGUUGGAGGCCGCCUGGGGCAUAGUGACCACGAAAUAACAGAAUUUUCAAUCCUCAGGGAUGUAAGGAGAGUCAUCAUUAAAACCUCUACUCUGGACUUCCGGAGGGCAGAUUUUGGCCUAUUCAAAAAAUUAAUUCAGGGCAUACCCUGGGAAACAACCCUUAAAGGCAAGGGGGUCCAGGAGGGAUGGACAUGCUUCAAGCAGGCAAUUUUGAGUGCACAGGAACAGGCUAUACCAGUGUGCUGAAAGGCAAGCCGGCGGGAAGACGGCUGGCUUGGUUAAAUAGGGAGGUUCUGAAAGAAAUCAGGGAUAAAAAGAAAGUUUACAGACUGUGGAAAAAAGGGCUGGCUACUUAUGAAGAAUUUACGAAGAGAGCUAGGUCAUGCAGGAAAAAAAUUAGGGAAAGAAAAGUGGAAUUUGAAGUUAAUUUGGCUAAUUCAGUUAGGGAUAACAAAAAGUCCUUUUAUAAAUACAUUAAAAGCAAAAGGAGGGGCAAGGAAAACCUCAGUUCUCUGUUGGACUUGGAGGGAAAUAUAGUUAACAAAGAUG